rnacentral:tmRNA from 1 species
GAUUGGUCAGAGGCUUGACACCUUUAUAAAAUAACACUAUACUGUUUUACAUCGUUGUACAUCCUCUGGAUGGGGCGUGUCUCGGAAGCGGGUUCAAAUCCCGCCGCUUCCACCAACUGCGCAUUGUGUCAGUGUGCAGCUGAUGGGGGCGACAGGUUUCGACGGGGCAAGGAACUGAAAGCGGCAACGCGGGCAGGCGACUACCCGGCGAGCUUCGGCUUGUGAACAGAGCAAAACCAUAAAUGCAAACGACGAAGUCUUUGCCCAGGCUGCGUAAGCCUGGCGGGUCGCGCUGACCUAGGAACAGAAUAGGCGCUGAAAAGCCCGGGCUCGCUCGGGCUUUUCG